GUACUCAUCGGUGCUGAAGAAGCUGAUGGUGGUGAGGGCAACAUGAGAAAGCACAGAAGAGUGGAGUCUGAUACGGAAGAAGAUGAGCAGCAGCACAACAGUCACAAUGUGGCCUCCACAGAACCAGGCCAGGACAGCAGACAGGUGGAGCCAGAGGAGGGUAACGUGAAUCAGAAGUCUGUGAGAUUCGGCAGUUUUGAACAGCAUGGAUCAUCUCUGAGUGAACAAAAUGAGAAGACUCCAGACAAUCCUAUUCCGCCUCCAUGUCCAUGCAUAGAGAAAAGGGCACUGCCCUCCAGCACAAUUUCACAUUUUAAGCCUGCAAAGGCCUUGAAGUUUGACAUCCCAAAAGAAAAUCUACAAAUCAGCGAUGAAAUGGAAGAUCCGAUAGUGGGUGUGGCCAUGAGAAUAGUGGAAGUCCACAGAGUCCGUGGAACGACAGAGAGAGGAAAGAAUGGCGAUGUGGUCAGCCCUGGGACCGCAGGGAGUGGGUCAGGGCAGAUU